rnacentral:lncRNA from 1 species
UGAAGUUGAAGGUUCACGGUUUAAGGUUGUUCACGGUUAUAUUCUGGAGCUGUUUUAGUGAUUAAAGUGGGCGUGACGGGGUUUUGCAGAAACGUGUUCGGACGGUAGCUCACCGGGGAAAGGAAGUGGACGCCGGUGGUUGAAAUGGUAUUUCACGGCGAGUUGAAAUCAGACAGUUUUGAGUUGUUGGAGGAAGGCGAUGUGUGAGCGGGUUUGGACGACGGCGGUAGACGGCGACGGUCAUUUGUGUGGGAUGCGGCAGUGAUGAAGGGUUUGUGGGUGGUUUCCGGCGGCGAGGGAGGGAGACGCGACGGAGAUGUAGAGGCGGAAACGAAGGUGGUUGAGAAGGAGGAAACGGCGGUUUUUUGAUGGGUUUCGCGGUUGUUGUUGUUGGAUAACCGACGAUGGAACACGGAUCGUUGGUUUUGUGGUUGGGUUCGCCAGCGAGGGAGUAGUGAAGGGUGGUGGUUGUGGAUUUUCGGCGGUUUGCAGUGGAUGAGGAAAUGAAGAAGAACAGUGGUGUCUUUUUUCCUUUCUCUUUUUUUAGUUUAUUUUUUAGCAGAAAAAAAGUGAUUAUUGAGUCUGUUGGAGAGAGUAUCUGUUGUAUCUUUUAUUACUUUUUCUUUCCAUUUUUUAAUAUUAUUUUUUUUACCGUUGGAAGAAGAGAGACGUUAUU